GGUAAUUAAUUAUCUUGCAGUUAUUAUUUAUCUGCUCCGGGCCAAGCGAUCGAGCAACUGCCACUGCAGUAUACGGACCAGCGAUCGAGCAUGAGAUUGAGGGGAAUGCAUCGCGAGGUAAUUUAGAUUCGCGAUGGGGGCGAAAGCGUUCGGGCGGCGGAGCAGCAGCUUCCCCUUGUUCAGCUUCGGCUGCGGCGCCUGCUCUGACUCUAAGUCCGUCUCUGUUUCCGCCACCAAGCCAGCCUCUCCCCGCAGCGGCGGCGCCGUGGAGUCCUCGGCUGACACUCCGCUCAGCCUCGCGGCGACCUUAUCCUCCUCCUACCAUGACGACGAAGAGGGGACGCCGGCGAGCGUCUCCGAGCUCCUCCUCCAGCUUGGGGAGCUAGAGCGGAGCGUCGUGGCCUGGAGCAGGGGCGGCGAGAGGAGGCAGAGCCGCGGAGUCGAGGACAGCGUGGUGGUGGUGGUGAGGGACACGAAGAAUCCGACGGAGGAGUUCCGGCGCUCGAUGCUGCACAUGAUCGUGGAGAAGGAGAUCGUGGGCGGCGCGGAGCUGCAGGAGCUGCUCCGCCGCUUCCUGGCGCUGAACUCACCGCGAUACCACGCCACCAUCCUCUGCGCCUUCGCCGAGAUAUGGGAGGACGUGUUCGCAGGGUACGAGCGGACGCCGGAUUUCCUGCGCCGAAGCUACUCCGAUCAGCUUCCACUUGGCCGGCUCCAUUAAUUGAGACGGUAGGAGCCACGUGGCAUGCUCAGGGCUAGGUCAAUACGGCCCAGACCAAUCCAACUUAAGAUGAAGCUCGAGUCAAGUGAGUCUAGUGUACGACGAAUUCCAGUCAAGUCAGAUCACCUCUUCCAAGUUCAACUCAAGUCCAUUGGGCCCAAGGGACUUGGCUAGCGCACUCAGGUUGAGUCAACUAAUUCAUGGUCAAACUCAGGUCAAGUAAGCCAAAUCACAGCCAAACUUGACUCGAGUCGGUUCCAGUUACGUUUGGAUCAAGUCACUCCCAGCCAAAUUCAAGAUCAUGCUCAAAUUAGACUGCUCUCGUGCGUGGAUGCGACACAACGAUCAUAAUGACACCAGUUACAAAAGAGUGUGAGAGGCAUCAAAGGAUCUUGGAUUUGAAUCUAUUCGAACCGAAUUUGUG